UACGAAGGGGGCUAGCGUUGCUCGGAAUCACUGGGCGUAAAGCGUGCGUAGGUGGUUUGUUAAGUCUGCUGUGAAAGCCCCGGGCUCAACCUGGGAAUGGCAGUGGAUACUGGCAAGCUAGAGUGCGGUAGAGGGGUGUGGAAUUCCCGGUGUAGCGGUGAAAUGCGUAGAGAUCGGGAGGAACACCAGUGGCGAAGGCGGCACCCUGGACCAGCACUGACACUGAGGCACGAAAGCGUGGGGAGCAAACAGG
rnacentral:rRNA from 1 species